rnacentral:lncRNA from 1 species
GGGGCAGGAUGGAGGCACACUAACCGGAAGGGAAGCCAAGAUGGGGCCAACUCUUAUUUAUAGACCCCCUCGACAGUUAAGAUCGACAUCGAGCAUCAUGCCUUGCCCAGACAUUCUGACAUGUGGCCGCGAUCUCAGUCGAUUGAUUUUUUGGCCUUUCGACGCACCGUCACUCAAAUCGCACCAAGUCAGUCGAAUCCACAUGAUCGCAAGACGGACCAACCGAUGAUCGACAUAUAAAAGACUCAGGUAUGUCAACCUAUUAUGCUCUGCCAUUCGAUCCUCUACCAUCAUUACAGAGAAUU